GACGCCUUGAAUUAUGUUUAUGUGCAAAAUCGUUCAGGCUUUUCCUGAAUAUUGUAUCAUUUUUGAAACCGUCUUCAUUGUGUCUGUUCAUUCAUUUAUUGUCAUAUCAACACGGUCACCAGAUGGUGGAGUUUUUUUAGCGAAAAACACGAAGCGUGUGGAUAAACUACAGAAGACAGAAAGACAUGCAACCCUUUAUAUAAAGGAAUGAAUGGGGGAUGCAUGUCUAGUACAGAGUGCCCUAUGUACAAUGACGAGGGUGACAUUGAGGUCUUCAUUGUUCAAACAGAUGGUUGAUUAUCCAAAAACAAACCUUCAGUUAAUACAAACCUACAGUUAUUUUCGGGGGAAACACAGACUUCGGAUGUCAAACAGUAUCACGGAAAUAUGGCAUAUGAGGGAAGUAGCAAUAACUUAAGAAGGCAACACCAGAUCCCCUUUUUAAAUAACAUUCAGAAGGGUUUUUUUUUCUUAAGGAGAGCACACAAGAACAUUUC